rnacentral:misc_RNA from 1 species
UGGUCAACCAUCUCAUCCCCCUCCUUCUCUGCGGCAUCUGCGCCGCAGCUGCAGCCGGCGGCUCCACCGCCAUCUCUCUCCAGAAGGCCAAUGAUGACAACGAAUGCGUCUACACCAUCUACGUCCGCACCGGAUCGAUCUGGAAAGCCGGCACGGACUCCAUCAUCAGCAUCGAACUUUUCGGCCGCGAUGGCUACGGUAUCCGCAUCCCCAACUUGGAGACGUGGGGCGGGCUGAUGGGAGUUGAUUACAACUACUUCGAGAGGGGCAACCUCGACAUCUUCAGCGGCAGGGGACCCUGCCUGCCGUCGACACCGUGCUCCAUCAACGUCACCUCCGACGGCAGUGGGGCGCACCAUGGUUGGUACUGCAACUACGUCGAGGUCACAGUGACGGGUCCGCAUCUCCCUUGUGAUCAGCAGCUGUUUACGAUCGAACAGUGGCUGGCUACCGAUACGUCGCCGUACAAGCUGUUUGCGGCGGUAGAUGUCUGCCCUCCCGCUGAGGACAUCGCUGUCGCCAGAGCUGGAGUUGGAGGCCUUGGCCGGCGUGGUCUGCCCGACCAAGAAGCGUGAUGAGCCGGCAGUUCGGUCCGGUUUCCGGUUUAGUUGGAAUGAAUAUUUAAUAUGAAUAUUUAAUUAAAUAAUGUAUUAUGUUUGAAAGGGAUCAUGCAUCUCAUGGUAUCCCGUUGUUUUCAAAUCACAUCAUUAUAAAUGGCGUGAUGUGUUUAUUUUCUUAA